CUCACCUGGGGCCUUUCUCCAGGUGCACCCGUGGGCCAAAGAGCCCCUUUCAUUCUCAGCCUGGGGCUGUAGUCCCAUUGAGACUGCAGAAGUGCUGGUCUCAGCUGUGGCCUGUCAGAUACUUGCAUAGUCAUCCUGAUUUUCGGUCAUCCUUGGUUGCCACCCUUGAGGCUUUCUUGCUUGUUUCACCCUGGGAACUGUGAGAUGGAGCCCUGGAAGAAUUGCAUGUAUGUGGCUGAGAUUUGUAUGACUGCUCCUUCAGUAUAACAGAAGUAUCUUCCUGAACCAGCUGAAGUUACCUGUCUCCUGAGGAAGAUGAGGACUUGCCAGUCACCAAACACAGACCUGGGAGCUGCUAGAAGGCAAAGGCACUUUGAUAAAGAAGCAGCAGGUGACUCCUUCUUCAUGAGUUCAAGGAGUGCUACAGUUUGGCAAUUUCCUCUUCAUGAAGCACGUUCACACAGAUAUGGCAGAUGAAGUAGAAAUGUUACAUCUCUCCAUACCAGGAUUAUUUUUUAUACUGAAAACAGAUAUGCUGAAGAUAAAUUGAAGAAAUAAUGUUCUGAAAUAGAAAUGUCUGGGGAAAGUGAUAAAGGGCUGAAGUAUUAAUAAAAAUAUGUUCUUCUUGUUCA
rnacentral:lncRNA from 1 species